AACGAACGCUGGCGGCAUGCCUAACACAUGCAAGUCGAACGGGAUCCUGGUUUCGGCCAGGUGAGAGUGGCGGACGGGUGAGUAACGCGUGGGAACCUGCCCAGUGGUGGGGGAUAACUGCGGGAAACUGCAGCUAAUACCGCAUGAGCCCGAAAGGGGAAAGAUUGAUCGCCAUUGGAGGGGCCCGCGUUCGAUUAGGUAGUUGGUGAGGUAACGGCUCACCAAGCCUUUGAUCGANAGCUGGUCUGAGAGGAUGAUCAGCCACACUGGGACUGAGAUACGGCCCAGACUCCUACGGGAGGCAGCAGUGGGGAAUAUUGGACAAUGGGGGC
rnacentral:rRNA from 1 species